GGUUCAAGUGUGAGGAUAUAUGCUUUCUGCUUGCCAGGUGAGUCUUCUCACUAUACAUUACCUAGAGUGGUAAUUAGAGUUAUGUGUUAGAGUAUCUUGUAUGUUAUUUAUGUGAUGUGAUGCGCUGCAUUAUUCUAUGAGAUUUAUGUUGUGUGUAUGAUUCUAGAGUUAGGACCGAAAGGUCCAAAAAGCUAGGACCAGAGGGUCCACAGAGUUAUAGCCUCGAGUGACUAAUAUGUGUUGUUAGUGGUAUUUUGGGGAACUCACUAAGCUUAGUGUUUACCCUGUUAUGUGUUAUGUGUUUCAGGUUUCUUUUCAGGAUCACGGGGCGGCAACAACUUGAUUGUACACACCAGUGAAAGAGCUACAUUUUGAGGAUCUUGGAUUUUAAGUCGCGCAAUUACAGAGUUUAGGUUGUAAACCUAAUAAAUGAGAUUUAUGUGAAAUACUUUAUGAAAAUUAUGUGACAUAAAAAUGAAAAACUUGUUUGAAAAUUUACGGUGUUACAAGUUGGUAUCAGAGCCUUGGUUUGGGGGAUUCAGAGGAAUCUUUGGGUAUGUCUGGACUCAAACUGAGGAAUUGAGGGAAAUUUUUUUCAAAAUAAAUGAUUUUUCUAAAACGAGCAGGAGUUUUAAGAGAAAACGGGAAAGAGCGGUGUGUACAAUCAACCAGAGCCCGAACGGUGAUUUCCCAAAAUACCCUUACCUUAUGUGUUAUGAGAUAUUAUGAGAUAUUAUGCUAGAGACAGGAUAGGUAUUUCAUAUUUUAGGACUAGAGUGGCCUGAUUGAUGAUGCCUUAGUCUAGGAGUUGCUGUUAACUGUGGUGCGCUUUCUAGUAUGUGUUGAGUAAGAGUAUCCAGCGGGAAUCCUUGUAGAGAAGGGACUUGAGUAGAGAAUUAAUCUAGGAGAGAUACCUAGAUGAGCACUUAUCGAACCUACUGCGAGAAUAGUUAGACACCCGCGAGGGGUAGAGUUACUUGAGUUCGGUGAUAUCUUUUGAGUGUGAGUAGAGCCAGUGGAGUUGCAUCUAGAGUGGUUUCUCGUGUUGGUAGAGAUUAUUCGAUGCCCUAAUGUUGCUUGUUUCGUGAUUUGUACAACUCUCGGUGAUGGGAUACAUGUAGUAAGUGAAUAUGGCGAUAUUCAAGAGGUAGGUGGAAGCCAUCAGUAGGAGUUCUUCAGCAGCUGAUGGCAGAGAAAUGUUAGAACCUAGGAAAUGACCUUAGUUAGAAGAGUACGCUGGCAGAGUUGAGCAUUUCGCUGGGGAGCGAGUAAGCAUAUGGGGAUUGGAGAUUGAGAGGGUUAAGCAGCUACUCAGGGAAUCUGGGAUGGAUAGUGUAGAGAGUAUGGGUAGAUGUGGUAGGUAGUAUGGGCCCGUACUACUAAAAGCAGAGGACCCAUACUCGAUACAAGGAGUAUUCCAGACAUUCUAAGUAGCAGAUCGAGAGGUGAUGUCAUGGUUCGGGUACCAUGAUCAGUACAAGAGGUGAUGUCAUGGUUCGGGUACCAUGAUCAGUAGUAGAUCAAGAGGUGAUGUCAUGGUUCGGGUACCAUGAUCAGUAGCAGAUCGAGAGGUGAUGUCAUGGUAUGGGUACCAUGAUCGGUCACAGACCGAGAGGUGAUGUCAUGGUUCGGGUACCAUGCUUCGUAGCGGAUAGUGCUUGUGCUUUUUCCAGUUAUCCUAUCGUGUUUGGGUUAUUCUAUGAUCAGAUGCGAUAGAAUAUGUGGCCAGAGGGCCAUGUUGAAUGAGUUUUAACAGAGCAUACCUUGAGAAGAGACUUGAGUUGAUUUCUAUGAGAUUUUUAGUGAGAUGUUAGUUGGAUUCGCAAGACUCAAAGAUGAGUGGAGAUGUUAUUAUACGAAGGAUUAUGGCCUGAGUUGAGUAAUCAGCCGAUAGUGGAGACGUCACAUUUUGUGAUCUGAGUGGUGCUUUUUCCGUUUCCUAUGGGAAACAUAAAAAGUGUUGAGAUCUUCGGUUUUUGUGCUUGGGGGUAAGCCCUGCGGGGAAGCAGUGAUGGCGAUCUUCCACCGGAGAAUUUUUCAAUAUGUCUAUCGCAAGGUAAUGAUAUAGCAAGAACAGGUUGUCGGUGGGAACUAAGACGGUCAAGGUAGAGGACACAUCCUACUCGAGUAUAGUAGGGCACGUGUUAGCUGUAGCAACGGAUGAUUAAGAAGUGUAUAUCGGGGUGAUGGCUUUUUGUCUAUGAUGUGUAUCGAGAGUGGAAGUGGAGUAUAUGCUCUUAUGAUAAGUGAUGUGAUUGAGCGUUGGUUGAGGAGUCAAGGAUGAAGAGAAUGAUAGUUCAUUAUUUCCAGACUACGAGUCAGAGUUAAUACUGGACAGUUGGAGAGGUCCGGUGAUGAGAGGGUGUGUGUUUCUGAAUGACUAGAGGCAGUCAUGAUCGGAAGUUCUGAGGAUUUCAUCUGAGAUUGCGGUUAUUUGGGGUUGCUUGAUUUCUUUCAGGAGAUCAUCGAGCAUGCGUAGCACCUUCCAAGAGUAGGUGCGAUGUUACUAGUGGGAACAGUCUGUGGGAUAGAUUGUUGGUACGUCAAGUGAUGAUGGUUCAAACCAUGAGAGGGGGAGAACCAGGUAUUCUAAUGAGAGAAUCGGAGUUUGGUUCAAGAGUGGUUAGAGAACUGGAUAUAGAGACCUGUGGUACAGAUUUGGAAUACCAGCGUUAUUAGUGGAUAAGGUAAGGUGCAGAGUAAGUUUAUGCAUGAGGCACGAGUUCGUGAAAGGAUGAGUGUCUCCAUGGCCGGUGGCCGUUGGUCAGGGAACUUGUAGUGGUUAGAAAUUCUUCUAGGUGGUUUGGCUUAUAAGGAUAGUUCGGCGGUUGGGAAAUCCCGGUCCGAUGUAUGGGCUUUUAUAUAUAGUUUGGGAAGACCAGAUAUGGAAUUAGACAACCAACCUCAAGGUCAGUCUGUGUAUUCUUGCAUGAGUUUUGAGUAAUAGAGGAGGGAGUUUCAGAUGGUUGUUAUCAUGUUCUGAGUCAUUGGUGAUUCCUCUAUGUUAUAUUGAGAGUUGGGACUCUCCGAGUUGCGCAUAGUGUGAAAUGAAGAUUAGUAAUGAGAUUCUAAGGGAAUAAAUUGUUGUAUCUGUGUAUGAUGCCGCAAGUGGGAGAUGAGUGGAUGGGGCAGGACAUCGUGAUGUUCUGUAAUGGUGUUCUGAGUAGUCUGAUUAUAAUGCCAUGAUUUCUGAAUUAUUUUUAGAGUCUUGAGUUUAAGGCGGAAAGUGGUGUAUCAAGUAUCUACGGUUCCAGUGGGAGCCCUUCGGGUAUUGAAAUCAAGAGGGAUCAGUUAAGAAUGUGGAUUGCGGCAGGGAAAGGUGUUUAGUUAUGGUGGUUGCCGUCAUAUAUACUGAUGCAUAAUUUGGAUGAGUGUGGGUCCCUAUCUAUGUUAGUCCGCGGAGCAUGAGUUAGACGACGCAAGGAGGGGUUAACGUGAUUAUGAGAUUGUAGGAUGAUAAGAGGAAGUACUGCUAGUCAGCGAGAGGGUGUUGUGAUACUGCGGGGAGCCGUAGUACUCACUACUUAACGAGAGGGUGUUGUAAUACUGCGGGGAGUCGUAGUACUCCCUAGUCAGCGAGAGGGUGUUAUGAUACUGAGGGGAGCCGUAGUACUCACUAGUCAACAAUAGGGUGUUGUGAUACUGUGGGGAGCCAUAGUACUCAAUAGUCAGCUAGAGGGUGUUGUGAUACUACGGUGAGCCGUAGUAUUCACUAGUCAGCAAGAGGGUGUUGUGAUGCUGCGGGGAGCCGUAGUACUCACUAGUUGGCGAGAGGGUGUUGUGAUACUGCAGGUAGCCGUAGUACUCACUAGUCAGCGAGAGGGUGUUGCGAUACUGCGGGAAGCCAUAGUACUCACUAGUCAGCGAGAAAGUGUGGUGAUUCUGCUGGGAGCCGUAGUAUUCACUAGUCAGCAAGAGGGUGUUGUGAUACUACGGGGAGUCGUAGUAUUCAUUAGUCAGCGAGAGGAUGUCGUGGUACUACAGGGAGCCGUAUUGUUCGCAAGUCAGAGUACGACGCAGAGGAGUGUCAGGCUUGGGUAGCCUUAUUAUUGAGCUUUUGCGGAUCUGGUGGUCGAACCAGGAGCGAGAUUGUGGUCUCCUUAAUGACCAGGAAUCGUUAUAUUCUGAGUUAAGGUGUGGUUAUCACAAUCAGAAGGAAUUGGCGAAGUGAUGUAUGCAUGGUUUGCGGUCAUGAGUCACGAUUUGAGUGGUUCUUAGGGACGAGUGGUUCAAAUUCUAGGUCGAACCAGACUCUCGAGUUUGAGUUUGGCUCUAGUAGUGCUUUGAGUAGGCGAGAUGAGCUUCUGGAUUCUGAGGUGGGUCCCAAGUUGAGGGGUAUUGUUUUUCAUCUGAUGUCUUAGACCUGUGUAGGUCAACACUCGGGUACGGGAGGUACCGCGAGGCGCAUGUAUCUAGGGAGUAGUGUUCGACAGAGGUUGAAGGUGAAACGAUUUAGUGGGACUAUGGUAUCCAUUGGGGUAAAGAGAACUUCAUGACUUUUGUGUAUCUGGGCCGAGAUAGUUAUGGUGAGAAGGAAGUCAGUGAGGCAUUUCGGGAUAUGUUAUGGGUGACCUUUGGAGGUUCAACUGCGGGGUCAGGAGUUGACCAGGUGCUCAGUAUUAAAAGGGAUGUGAGGAGCUUAUGAUUGUGUUGACUGUGAAUAGUCCUGAGCUAGCAUGGUUAUUCCCUUGUGUCCAAGGGCAGAGUGUUGAUGAUUCCUUGUUCGGAUGAGUUCUGAUAGUAGUUAUUGGAUGAGCUUGGGUGAGGUGCGGACCCUUCCCUUUUUUGGGGCAUGAUUCAGAUAAUUUAGCAUGUUGGCAUGAGUGAGCGGUAACCGAUUGUUGGAUUCUGUCUUCUGAGAAUCAGAGGAUCAGUGAGUUAUCACGAUUUGAUAUUCGAGGAGCGAAGAUCGUGGUGAUCGCUUGAGUAGGCGGCCUGGCGGCAGGUCAAGCCACUAUGAUUUUCGGAUAUUAGGAAGGAGUUUGUUAGCGGCAGAAGAAUUGGUUUAGUUCUAGACUUGGGAUUUUCUGUGUGGUAUCAGGUGUCCAUGGUGAAGCAUAUCAGUUUAGCAUGAGCUCCUUUCGAUGGUGUUUUCAGGUGAUUAGUUUGGUCUAUGUGGUUGAGGAUUGAUUUUGAGGGCGAAAUCUAAUUCAAGUGGGGGAGAAUUGUAACAUCCGGAUUUUCAGGGAUAUUAUCGUGUGGGUUAAUCUUGAAAUUAAAGGAGAGACUCGACGAGUUGAUGGUCGAACUCGCCGAGUCGUGUCGGGUUUCUCCCGUGGAUUUAAUGAGUGGACUCGACGAGUUAGAGGGACUCGCCGAGUAGGUGAUGGGUAGAUAAACCCAAAUUUUCGGGGUUUAGGACCUAUUUAAAGGCACUUAUAGCCUCUGUGGCCCCUCCCCAUCAGUGUCUUCGUCCCUUGCGAGAAACGCUAGAGUUAUUUGUGAACUAGAGAGGAAAGAGGCUAACUGGAGGUUAUUUCCUUGAGAAGAAGAUCAUGGGUGUUGCAAGAAUCACAUAGGAGGGUUGAAGGAUCAGUUUCAUCUUCUUUCCAAGCUUCAGAUCUGGUAUAAGCUCUUCCCUCCCUUGUGUUUGUAUACAUUUCCUUUGGUUGCUAAGUUACGGCUUGUAUCUCCAUAUUGGUUGUUUUUUGGGUGCAUCGAAACCCUUUUUCGAGUCAUUGUGGAGUUGGACCUUGUGAGGUCUAGAGAUCCAGAAAGUAGGCAGCCAUGAAUGAGUAACCUUGGAGCUUUGAAGCUAUGGAGCUUCAAUGUAGUCAAGAUGGUGUAUAGAGCAAAAUACACCAUGCAUGAGUCUCAAGUAUAGACCUUUACGUGAUUUUUGCGAAGUAGGAGGUUAGAUCUAUGAGUUUGGGUUACAGAUCUGACCUCAGAUGGCUGAAUGAGAAAUCUGUUAGAGCCAACUCGCCGAGUCCAUGAGAUGACUCGACGAGUCGUAGCGGGUUUGACCGAGUAGCCUUAACCGAAUGUUGGCUCACCGAGUUGGGGGUCAAAUCAAUGAGCUGAGUGAGACCUAGGUAGGAUUCAGAUGAUGUGAGGGCACUCGACGAGUCGCAAGGGUCCAUUCGACGAGUAGGGUCAAAUGUGAACUGUUGUGUUGAGUUGACCUCUGUUGACUUUGGGGUUUUGGUCAAUAUAAGUAGUAGAGACCAUGGAGGGGUAAAAUGGUCUUUUACCCACUUCCCGAGUAGAGUGGGAAAGAGUAAUCAUCGGUUUAAUUAAAGUUGAGAUUUCGGGUGUUGAUUAGAGAUAUUUACCCUACGUGUUAGGCGGUGGCGAGUUCGAGGUUCAAGUGUGAGGAUAGUUUCUUUCUGCUUGCCAGGUGAGUCUACUCACUAUACAUUACCUAGAGUGGUAAUUAGAGUUAUGUGCCGAUGUAUCUUGUAUGUUAUUUAUAUGAUGUGAUGCACUGCAUUAUUCUAUGUGAUUUACGUUGUGUGUAUGAUUCUAGAGUUCGGACCGGAAGGUCCACAAUGUUAGCACCAGAGGGUCCACAGAGGUAGGACCAGAGGUUCCACAGAGUUAGGACCAGAGGGUCCACAGAGUUAUAGCGUCGAGUGGCUAAUAUGUGUUGUUGGUGGUAUUUUGGGGAACUCACUAAGCUUAGUGCUUACUGUGUUAUGUGUUAUGUGUUUCAAGUUUUUUUUUAGGAUCACGGGGCGGCAACGGCUUGAUUGUACACACCAAUGAAAGAGCUACAUUUUGAGGAUCCUGGAUUUUAUAUGGCGCAAUUACGGAGUUUGAGUUGUAAACCUAAUAAAUGAGAUUUCUGCGAAAUACUUUAUGAAAAUUAUGUGAUUUAA
rnacentral:lncRNA from 1 species